CGCGCUUUUAUUUACGUGAGCCGGAGCGGAGCGGGGCGGUGCCAAGGGCCGGAGGCAGGGCGGGAGCUGGGCUGUCCCGGUCCCAGGCUUACGUCGGAGCACCGAGAGGGGGCAGCCUUCUCAGCUCUGGGCUUUCAGCCUUGGAAGAGAGCUCCCGGGUCCCAGGCUGUUUGUUCCUUUCGUCUCUGAGCUCCCAUUCUGAUCAUGAGCCACAUAAGGAAUAAAUGGAAAAGCCAGAUAAGUACCAAAAGCAUCUCUAUAAAGCAAUCCAAGUGCUGUUGGAGCAACAAGACUAGAGGAACCAAGAUUCCAGAGGAGGAACUGCAAAAUGUACGCGGGCCUCUCACUGUUGUGGCCUUCUCCCGUUGCGGAGCACAGGC